GCAAAGCAACUCACUUGAUCUUUGAUCAAAAUGAAUUUGAUUUGAAUCAAAGAAGGUUAAGCCCCUCAUAUGUCAAGGCUAACCACCAAUCAUUAACUCAUUGAUCAAAAAAGAAAGAAAAAAAAAGAAGGAGAAGAAGAAAUGGAAUGUACGUAAUUGAAAUUCAAAUGACAUAAGCAAAAUACAUUGACCAAAAAUGAAUGGAAUCAACAUCAAUCAAUGGUAAACAGAAG
rnacentral:lncRNA from 1 species